rnacentral:tRNA from 1 species
GAGGGUAUAGCUCAAUGGUAGAGUGCUUGCCUAGCAUGUGUGAGGUCCUGGGUUCAAUCCCCAGGACCUCCA